UGCCGGAAACUUCUUAGUAAAGUUAUCCUGAGACCUAACCUUUCCAAGAAGCUGAAGAGCAUAUUAUAAGCCUUAUUACAGGAGAGCUGCUGAACCCUUGAAUGAACCCUGAAAUAGGACAUGGAAUCAGAAGAUGACUCCUGUUUCUUUGGAAAGAAGAACCUGGGUCUACUAGUUCCGUGUUCUUGAUGAAGGUGGUUCUCCUCUCUUCUUGGUCAGCCCACCUCUUCAGAAACCCAGAGAGAUUUCUGAGGUCCACAUGUUUGCCACUUCCAACUGCAAUAAUGAACUCAUGGCUAACGUUUAUUGAGCAUCUACUAUUCUCCAGGCAAGAUUCUACAUGGAUUGUUUUGUUGAAUCCUCACAUCAACCCUACUAUUGCCUCCCCUUUACAGAUGUGGAAACUGAGGCCUGGAGGGAGUAAGUUUUUCCCAAGGUCACAUGCAUGCUGAAUAAAUCCAGGUUGUCAGAUUCAAAAGUCCAGUGCCUAACACCCAAAUAAAUGCGGGGGGGGGGGUGGGGGAAGGGUACAGACCUUCUCCUCCUGGAUACAGAGUAGCUACUCAGUAAAAGUGUUACUUGGAUUUUAUUCCAAGUACCCAGCAUCCAUCCCCUCUCCUACCUCCCCUCCAUCUCCUUCCUGCCCACCAUGAACACCCUGGCACCAAGGCACUGCCUGGCCCUCUCUUCCACUUCCAGAAGCAGCCCUCAGGCCGCCAUUUUGUGACUUAUUUUUCCUCUGAAUGCUCUCCUGAUGUUCACUGUAACCUGACCUCACAGAACAGUAAUACUGAGGAGGGGAGGCAGGGCCCCCUGCCCCACCUGUCCUGACCCUUGGGCACCUGGAGAGCCCCCGGGCCUGUGCCUCCCAGGGGCCUGUGCCUCCCAGGGGCCUGUGCCUCCCAGGGCUGGCUGCCGCACCACACCACUUGAAGGUAGCCACUUGAAGGGAUGCACCUGAAAGGCACAUUUUAUUUGCUUCCUGACACCCAUCUCUGACUCCAGCUGUGCUGCCCCAAACUCCUCACUUUCCCACCUCCUCUCUCCCUAAUUCCUGCCCUCCUCUUCCUUUCCUCCCCCUCAGACCCUUUCCCACCCUCUUUUGCUGGCUUCUGUUCUCUUUCUUUCCAUGAGCAGAGAGUUUCCAGCUUGGCUCCUGGCCAGCACAUUUGGACAAAAGGCAGCAAUCUUAGAGGAAGACGUCAUCUCGCACCCCCUUUCCCGGGGCCGGCACCGUGGCUCCCGAGCCCAGAGAGGGAGAAGGGGGCCCAGGCCUCUCUGCCACAGCUCCCCGUUCGGGGAAAGGCCCUGAGAGAUGGCGUUAAAAGCAAAGAGUUUGCAAAUAGACCCAGGCUCAAAUUCCCAUUCUGUCACUUGAGGCUGUGGGACCUUGGACAAGUUACUUUGCAAAGAUUUAGCCCUCUCCUCUGUAAAACUGUGAUAAUUGUAGCACCUAUUUUGAAAGACUGCAAGUAAGGAUUAAAUGAGAAUGCACCUGUAAAGCAUUCAGCACAGCACAUGUCCUGUAAAAAGUGCUCCACACGUCCCUUCUGUAAUAAAGCGAGCUUAACUCUGCCAAAUAAUACAAACAGGAGUAAUAACACAGGAGCUUGAGUCGAUGAUAAUAAUACCUCCUCAACUCAUCUGCAGGGCUACUGACCCAGCCUCAGUUGUCUGCAAGUGUGGUAAAGCUGCAAAACCCUCCCAAGCACGGAGUUGCUGUUACAAUGUAAUCUGUGUGAGUUGGUUUUGACAUUGGAAGGGGAGCUGACCCCUUUUCCUUUUCAGUAGGAACAAGGACGUGCUCAGGCUCAGCUUCAGAGCUAGAUGUGAAAGUAGGAGGAGCCCACUGAGAUCAGCACAGCCGGCUCAUCCUGACUCCCCUCCCCCUCCGUUUUCUGGCUCCCUGAACUCCGAGGCCCUGGCUCUGUUUGUUUACUAUCUGUCUCUGGUGUUUGGGACUUGCAAGUUGUGCAAUGCCUGGGAACGUGUUCAUUUUUACUUAGCUAGGUUUUGAGAAAGGGAAAUGGUCUUUCCCCUAUGACUUUAUUUAGCUCAUCUGGGCCAGCACGGAGAGAUUUGAAUUUAAUCAGUAAGAUGAAUCAAAGAGCGUGAGGUGCUGGGUGGUGGGGGGAUGCUGGGAAAUACACAAGUAUAUGGGAUGGUCCCUGCCUCUUAGCGGGAGGAAUAACAGCUAUAAACCCAAACAACCGAAUGGCAGUAAAAGACUGCAGUUGUUCACGAUCAAACGACAAGAUUAGUCCAGGGAAUGACUGACAUACGGUUCACGAGUUUAAGGACUAAAUUUGAACUACAGUGGUGGAUGUUACCAAACAAAUGCAAACUGGAGGAACGCAGAGGUGGGCAAUGGAAGUCGGAAUGGCCACAGACUGCCUCAAAGAAGAGGUCGGACCUGGUGGCCCUUAAGAGGAGACUGGGUUCCAACAGCUGGGAAAGGAGAAGGUUGCAGGAGGUUGGCAGCUUGAACCUGGAGCCUGAACCAAAGAAGCUGUCUCUUUGACUCCCUCCCCAACUCCCUCCUCUCUGCCCCAGGCCCGGGAUCCGGGCUAUCCAGGGUUCAGGGGAAAGGAGAGCCUCUGUGCCCCUCCCUCGGCACUGCUGAGACCUCUAAGUCUCCAUGUUCUGGGAGGCAUUAGGGGGUUAAUUUUCUCUGACAUUUUUUCACCCCAUUAGAUGCACCAGUUCAGCUGGAGGGUAAACAGAGAGCACUGGUCUCUUUUUGAUGUCCUGGGAGCUUGUGUGUGUUUGUUGUGUUUGUUGCCUGUCACCAACACAGAUGGUGAAAUGGGCCAGAUGUAAAGGACGACAGCGGCCACAAGAUGCCGGGGAGCUUUGCUGGGGGUUGGAUGACCACACACUUCAUCCCACAUCUGAACCACUCUCACCCGCAAGUCAGAGUAUUAAGCAGAGAACGCCCCUGCGCCCCCAGAGAGCUGGAGACGUUUUCUGGCAGAGAAGCCCAGAGCACCGGCAAGCUGCUUCGAGAAGUUCCUCUGUGUCUUCCCAGUCUCCACCCUGGGCGAGUCUGUGGCUGAGAAGCUGGCCUGCUCCAGCUGUAGGGGAGGCAAGUUCUAAACCUCAGGUGUCCCCGUCACCCCUGCCCAGUGAUCAGAUCAGUGCUCUGUGGCUUCUCCCCCAACUAACAUCUCCCCUGACCACUCAAGGCUGAGCAUCAGGAUCUCAUUUUUAAAUUAUACGUCACUGGUCACAAAUAUAUUCAAUAUCCAUUUGGCUUUGAAAUCUAUUUUAAUCUAGCAAUUGCACUUCUGGGAAUUUAUCUUACAGAACUAUUGGAACAAGUGACCCAGAGUGCUUGUAGUGGCUAAACUCAGAAGCAACCAAUGGCUCAAAAACAGUAUGCUUUUUAGGAAAACAAAACUACCAAAGGAAAUGCAUCUGAUACUGUGUUUGAACUGGUCUGACAAGCCCUCCUGAUAAGACGCACAGCCCAAGGAAGGCCUGGAUACCAUGGAAAAAAUGGUCACUGUCAGGACUUCCUGUCCUGAUCCCACUCCAGCUCGAUCCUACUCUCAUUUCCUUCUGAAGGGGAGCCGUGGGACCGCUUUGUUCCCCACUGUUGAGGGAAGCAAACCUCUUCCCUGAGCUUGCCAUGAAGAUGACUCACCCCGUCCUCCCUUCAGGCCAGGGAGAAGAAAAAGAUAGCAGUUUUUGGCAACUCAGCCUGUUAGAAAAGGGGGUCUAGGGCUCACCCCUCUUCCAGUCAACUGCAGGCCAAGGAUGGAUGCAUCUAAGAGAAGCCAAAGACAAGGCAAUUCUGGACUGCAGCUGGCAAAGGGCUUAACUCUGGGCAAGCUGGGAGUCGACAGGAUACAUUUUUGCCCAGAUCAGACAAUGAUCUUGACACAAGGGUAAAAGAUGGUCUGACUCUGGCUUCCCAACAUAUUCUGUCUUUGGAUAUCAAAUGUAGAAAACUGAGCUACUCACUCACCUCAGUUCCAGACACUGAUUUUUCUCCUAUAAUUAAAGGGGUACAUGUGUCUGUCA